rnacentral:lncRNA from 1 species
UUCAUGUAGUUCAAGAUAAAUGUCGUGACGUUCAAGAUGAAUGUCCUCCUCCAAUAAAACCUAAGAACUUUCCCUUUAAUAAUAAGAGCUAAAUUAGCAAUCAAAUCACAAAAUACAACUUUUUCUCGUAUAGCUGACGAUGAAAUAUAAUACCUUAUUAGUAAUCUAAUGAUUUAUCAGACAUUAUCGUUAGCUCCUCUUCUAAGUUUGAUGAUUUCUGCCUUAGGAUGAUGGUAACUCCUAAUGGCUUAUCAGAAUUCUGAUGACUUAUCAGAAAUGUCAUCAUCUCCUUCUCCACUUUUAUGAUCUGUGCCUUAGGCUGACAAUAUUAUUGAUCGCUUAUCAGACACCUGACGGCUUAUUAGGGGAUGUCAUCACACUUUUGCUCCAAAUUUCUCACACUGUAUACAGCUGCCGAUGAAUCUGAUAGCUUUUCACAAAUUUGACAACUUAUUAGACAAGUCGUCAACUACACUUCAUGGCCACUUGUUCAAAAUUCACCUCUUUUGCUCUUAUUAUCUUUGGUUUUCUUGGAUCUUGACUUUCCUGCAUUAACAAAGAGAAAACAAUGAAAAAUGAAAAAAAGUUGCUUAAGACUUCACAAUUAUUUCUAGUUAAAAGCCUCAAAUGUGUUAGCAUUAUCCCACACAUUACCCCAUCAGGGACUGAGGUUAUAGAGUAGCACCUGGUAGGCUAUAGGAGUCGCACCACUGUAGCAACUAGGAAACUCCAACUAAGUGACACCCCCUACCUAUAGUAAAAUUGAAAAAUCUAGUGCUUCCACAACUUUUUAAUGUGCUAUUCCCAAUGGAAUAGUGAAUUGAGCUUCUGUACACCUGAUCACUGAAAUAAAAAUACCAAAUUUUAUGAAGAAGGAACUCAAGAGGAGAGAUAAGGGGAAGGCUCUUGUUGAACCAUGGGUUAAUCUCUUUAAGAAGAAAAUAUUUGUAGAGAACGAUAUAACAUUGAACUAUAUAGCCCUAGUAAUUGUGAAUAAAUAAUAUGUAGCUGAACUAGAUGAGGCCGAGUAGCUAAGGAAACUCAGAAAUGGAAGUGUGAUCUAAUUGGAUAUAUAAUAGGGACAAAUCCUAGUUAAAAUAUGAUGAUGUGAUAUAUCAAUCAAAAUCGGAAGGAAAUUGUGUGACCAGAGUUAUAUAUGUAUAUUAUUUUAUUGCUAGAUUUUAC